rnacentral:rRNA from 1 species
UACGUAGGGUGCAAGCGUUAAUCGGAAUUACUGGGCGUAAAGCGUGCGUAGGCGGUUCGUUAAGUCAGCUGUGAAAGCCCCGGGCUCAACCUGGGAACUGCGGUUGAAACUGGCGAACUAGAAUCUGGCAGAGGGGGGUGGAAUUCCACGUGUAGCAGUGAAAUGCGUAGAGAUGUGGAGGAACACCGAUGGCGAAGGCAGCCCCCUGGGCUGAGAUUGACGCUCAGGCACGAAAGCGUGGGGAGCAAACAGG